rnacentral:lncRNA from 1 species
GUUUACGCAGAGAAUGGUGAUCAGAGGUGUCCCUCAGGGGUCAGUAUUUGGACCAAUCUUGUUCAACGUCUUUGCUGGCGAUAGGGACGGUGGGAUAGAGUGUGCCUUCAGCAAUUUUGCUGAUCUCACUAAUCUAGGUGGUUUGGUUGAUACACUGGAGGGAAAGAAUGCCAUCCAGAGGGACCUUGAUACACUGGAGGGAAAGAAUGCCAUCCAGAGGGACCUUGAUGCACUUGAGAGGUGGCCAAUUCCAACCUCAUGAAGUUCAACCAAGCCAAGUGCAAGAUCCUACACCUGGGUCAGGGCAAUCCCAGGCACAGCUACAGGUUGGGCAGAGAAGAGAUUCAGAGCGGCCCUGCGGAGGACUUGGGGGUGUUGGUCGAUGAGACACUGAACAUGAGCCGGCAGUGUGCGCUCGCAGCCCAGAAAGCCAGCAGUAUCAUGGGCUGCAUCAAAAGGAGCUUGACCAGCAGGUGGAGGGAUGUGAUCUUGCCCCUCUACUCUGCUCUCGUGAGACCUCACUUGGAGUACUGUGUGCAAUUCCGGUGUCAUCAAUAUAAGAAGGACAUGGAGCUGCUGGAGCAAAUCCAGAGGAGGGCCACGAGGAUGAUCAGGGGACUGGAGCACUUCCCAUAUGAAGACAGGCUGAGGAAGUUGGGGCUGUUCAGCCUGGAGAAGAGAAGGCUGCGUGGAGACCUCAUAGCAGCCUUCCAAUAUUUGAAGGGGGGCUAUAGGGGUGCUGGUGAGGGACAGUUCAUUAGGGACUGUAGUGAUAGGACAAGGGGUAACAGGUUCAAACUUAAACAGGGGAAGUUUAGAUUGGAUAUGAGGAAGAAAUUCUUUACUGUAAGGGUGGUGAGGCACUGGAAUGGGUUGCCCAGGGAAGUUGUGAAUGCUUCAUCCCUGGUGGUGUUCAAGGCCAGGCUGGACAGAGCCUCAGGUGACAGGGUCAAAUGUGAGGCGUCCCUGCCCUUUCCAACCCUGACCAUUCUAUGAUGCUCUGAUUCUAUACUAUCUGUUGUUUGUCUUAAAGUUAGCUGGUGCGGUG